rnacentral:lncRNA from 1 species
GUUUAGCAUGGCUAUGGGCGGCGGCGGCGUGGUGCGGGGUGCUCAUGUUGUUGCUUCUCUAUGAGAGACUGUAAGGGAGAUACACAGGUAUCUGACUCCAGGACAGUAUACUUUUUUUUUAUUUAUUUAUUUAUUUAAAAUACUUUAUGCACAUUGUACAACGGCGGACUUAACGCCUUAGGCGUUCUCUGCCAGUCUACCUUAGGGUGGUGGUGAAACAGAAAUGGUAGGUGCAACACAGUUUGAGCAUAAGUGCAAGAUAAUAAAAAAAUAUAUAUAUUUAUGUAUAUAUAAAUAUAAUAAAUAAAUAUAUAUAUAUAUAUAAAUAUUCCUGAAUCCAAGAGAAGAAAGUGAAGAAAAUGAACUAGCGUAAUGAUUCCGCCAACUUGCCAUGGAUGUGAUUACGUAGUUUAAUUUUAAACGUGUGUCGACUAUUUACCAUCCUGACCUCCAAGGGUAGCUCAUUCCAGAGAAGGAUAGAUUUAACAAAGAAGGAAGAGUGAAUGAUAUCUGAACGGUGAGCAGGGCAGUGAAGAAGACGAUUAUUAGAGGAGCGGAGAUUUUUAUUGUGUUGUGAACACACAUACUGAAAGUGGGAGGUUAAGUAUGCAGGUGAAGACGGGGUAUAUAGUAUAGAAAAAAGAGUAGUUAAUGCCCUCAUCACACGUCGUUGUCUUAUCGGUAGCCAUUUAAGUUGCGCUCGAUACGCUGACACAUGAUCGUACUUGCGAAGGUUAAAGACGAAUCGAAUGCAAUUAUUGAGAAGCCGGUCUAGUUUAUUGAGCAGAUCUGCAUUCAGGUCAUAGUAGCAAACAUCACCAUAGUCGAUUAUAGGAAAGAUUAAGGUUUGCAUAAGCAUUGCUUUUACAUGGACAGGGAGCAAGUUUUUAAAGCGAUAGAGAAACCGCAGCGUAUUCGUGGUUUUUUGACUGACAGCUGCAACUUGUGCUUGCCAAUUGAGUGAGGAGUCAAGUUGUAGGCCCAAAUUCUUCACAGAGCAGCUGUACGGUAUAUCUAUCCCGUCAAAUACCAAAGUUGGCAAACCCAGAGCGUCUACUUUUCCUAAAUUUCUUGAGCUACCAAUGAUAAUGGCUUGGCAUUUGACAGGAUUAACUGCCACUCCGAACCUGUCAGACCAACUCUUGACUACCUCCAAGUCCUGGUUCAUUUUAACAAGCGUAGCUGCCAACUCAUUCACUUUUGUGUGACGAUACAACUGCAAGUCAUCGGCAUAGAGAUGAUACGAACACUGAAGUUCAAGAGUAAGGAAAUUUAUAAAUAUAGAGAAUAACAGAGGUGAGAGUAUGCCGCCUUGAGGAACGCCAGCAUUCAAAGUACACCAGGUAGACGAAUCCUCAUCCACCCGAACCGACUGCUGGCGAUCAUGAAGAUAAGAAGAAAACCAGUCUAACGCCCUAGAAGAGACCAUAAGAUUUGAUAGAAUAGAUAAAAGGAUAUCGUGACUGACGGUAUUGAACGCGUUUGAAAAAUCCACGAGUACCAACACUGUGAGAUUAGCGUCUUCCAUAGCAAAUCUAAUAUCGCCAGUCACUUUGAGGAGGGCAGAAGAAGUGCUGUGGCCCGGCCUAAAUCCGGAUUGGAAAGGGCUCAUUAGCUUAUUGCCGUAGAUGAAACGAGCAAAUUGCUUAUGAGCACAAGCCUCAAGCACUUUGGAUAAGAAAGGUAGGAUGGAAAUUGGACGAAAGUGACUGGGGAGAGUGGGACUGGAAAUUUUAGGAAGAGGACGCACGUAAGCUUUCCGCCAAAGUGAGGGAAAAAUUCCAGAGUAAAGAGAAAAGUUUAUGAUAUGAGUGAUAACAGGAAGGAUUGGGACUAGGAUAGGGACAAUCAUCUGACGGCUGAUGUUAUCACACCCCACCGCCUUAGACUUGAUGGACAGGAUAAUCUUUUUGACCUCUUCCUCGUCGACUGGCACAAAAUCAAAAGAUUUGAUAUCGGGACGCGUUAGACCAUGUAUAUAAUUGAGAGUAUCUUGCUUCAUUAAAUAGUCCAAACGAGAGGAAGAAGAAGUGCAGAAAUGACUAUUUAAAGCAUCAAGACUAAUUGUGUUAGGCAGGUCCAAAUGUCGCGAUUUGCCAAUACCCAGAGUUCCAAGAAACUUCCAGAUGUCAGCAGAAGACGAGGAUGAUAUAUUAUUCAAUAUAUGGCGGCGUUUAGCAUUUCGUAUCAUCGUAUUACACCGAUUCCUCGCAGUUUUAAACUGAGCCCAGUUUUCAUCACUACGGUCUUUUUUAAAUUUACGGAACGCACGGUCCCGCCUACGCAUUGCUAUACGUAUGAGUUCAGUCAUCCAAGGUGCAGGCGGCCGUUUCACUCUGACUUUUUUAACUGGUGCAUGACGAUCAUAUAAUAUGUUCACCAUGUUAUUAAAAAUCAAAAUUUUAUGAUCUACAUCAUCAGAAGUCAUUAAUGGUGUCCAAUCAAUAUCUAGCGCAUCCUUGACCAACCGCUCAGUAUCCAUCCUUGCAAAACAACGCCUAUGCAAAAUCUUAGGCUUGGGCUUAGGAGGUUUGAGGAUAUAGGAGAGGAAAAUAAGGUCGUGGUGAGAAAAACCAGGCGCAGAAUAUUGACCGUGACAGGAAAUAAGGGAGAGGUUAGACGUCAGAAUUAAGUCCAGCCAGGAAUCAUCACCAAUCGUAGAUCGGUGAGUAGCCUGAAGAGGUAAAAUAUGCAAGCUGGAUGAUUCCAAAACGUGCAAGAGUUUACGGGUUCGAGGAGAGUUGGGAGCAAGGAGAUUUGUAUUAAAAUCACCCAUGAUGAUGUAAUGAGCAUACUCAGAACCUAACGAUUCUAAAACCGAUUCCAAAUCAGUGAAGUAGUCUACAGAGGGGGGGCAGUAAACCACACCAACGACGGCUUUGGCUCCUUUAACUGAAACCUCCAAAAAGAGAAAUUCAGCACUAGGCAGAGGACUAGAAGAAGUAGCCAAGAUCUUAUAAGGAAAGUCCGAUCGCAGGUAUAUUGCCACGCCACCCCCUCUUCUCCCAAGCCGAUCAUUCCGAAUAAGAACGAAGCCAGGUAGAGGGUACGAGGUGGAUAAGAGAUUUGGUUUGAGCCAGCUCUCGGAAACCAGGACGGCAUGCACAUUGCUGUUGAAAAAAGUCUCAUAUAGUUCACUAUAGUGACUAGGAACACUUUGAGCGUUAAUAUGACACACAUUUAACACCUUAUCUGUUUGCUUGAAUUGAUUUCUCAAUGUAUCCCCAAGUGUAUCAGUCAGAGAACAGAAACUAACAUCACUAUUACUCACAUCCAAAGACUCAUUGGCAGAAUGAAAACAGUCGUCAUCAGAAUUCAUAAAUCCUAAAUAUAUAAACUAAAAAAAAUAUAACUAAACAAAUAAUUAAUGAUUUUAAAAAUACAAACAGAAUUGACCUCCACCCGCCAGCUAACACCAAUAUAAAAAUUUUUAAACAAAAACAUAAAACAAAACAAAACAUAAUAAAACUUCAAAGAACAUAAAAAAAAGAAGAAUGAGACUAUUUCUGAACGAGAAGUAUUUGAUCCGUGCAAUGACUGACAUUUUAGUAGUGUGACAGCUGACAAUGACAAUUCAAGAAAAAGUACCUGCGGUUGUGGAAAGAAAAGCAAUCUAAACGUUAAAUUAUUCUUAUCCUUUUUGCGGGUAAAUAACAAAUUGAAAUACAAAUUACAAAGGUACUAUAAAUUUAACAAAAUUUGGUAAGAUAAAAGAUUACUAGGAGAAAAAAAUAAAAAAUAAAUAAAAGCAAUAGAUAUAAACAUUAAGGUAUCUCACGACGUUAUGCAGCAUUAGAUUUCGAAGGGUACUUCUCCAGGAGAGGCUUUAGCUCGUCCAUCGACACAAUCCUGUGGCGGCUGCCAUCCGAUGCCUUAAUAACUAUCACGCCAUCCUGCGUCCAACAAGCACGCAUACCGAAAUGCAGCCGUGCCUUCGCGAAGAUGGACUGCCUGGCUUUCGUCAGGAACUCCUUGACUGAGACUUUGGUCCCUCUCAACCUAGUCUUAGCCCUCCAAACAGUUGACUUGACAUCCCAAGAAGCAAACCUCACAAGAAUGGGCCGUGCAUGAUCCUUACUAGGACUGCCAAGUCGGUGGGCAACUUUUAUGCUGGGUGCUGCUAUGUCCUUUAGACCCAAUUUGCUGCCGAGGACACCAAGGACCAUGGAAGAGCAGUCCUCAUUCUCUUCUUCAGGAAGCCCUUGAAAGAUCAAUGCUUUUCGUCGGUGCCUCAUCUCCAACCCAUCAAUGUGCAGCACACACUCGGCUAUCUGCUUCCUGAGUAAACCCAACACGUUGAAGAUGAGCUCCCUGAAGGCCCGGAACUCCUCAGCAAUUUUAGCGACGGUUUCCUUGGCAGGACCUGCAGCCUGAAUUUGAGCUCCGAGUUGGUCCAUCUUCUGACUGAAACUCUCCUCAAGACUUCUCUGUAUCGACAGUAUUUCUGAUAACUGUGACAUCUUCCUUAUAUUGUUUAUAGUGACUUUGUAAAUAUGUUAAUAUUAUUCUAUGUGCAAGUGUUGAUGGUGAUGUGGCAGGCGGUGUUAAGUACUUAAUCAGGUUACAUUUAAGGCUCCCAAUGUAAGUACCCAAUAAUUAAGUUGUAUAAUUAAACUUUUACUAAAAAUAAUUUAAAAAACUGAAUUAAAUAUAUUUUUAAAAAGCUCAGAGAA